rnacentral:rRNA from 1 species
UCAAUAGCCGAAAGGGCUGAACCAGCAACUUGGAGAAUGUAUAGCUUAGCUAAAUAUAUUUAAUUAAAUAUAUUUUCGACUACGUUUGAAUAAAAUUCUAGUUAGAACAAUGAGAAGGACAAUUUUCUAGCUAUUAGUCUUGACCAAAUCUCGUGCCAGCAGUCGCGGUAAGACGUGGAAGACAAGUGUUAUUCAUCUUUAUUAGGUUUAAAGGGUACCUAGACAGUUUAUCUUGCCUUCUGGGUACGGAUAUAACUAGAGUUUAAGAUACAGGGGGGUAGUAUUUAUGGCGUAGAGAUGAAAUUUUUUAAUACCAUAAGGACUGUUAAUGCGAAGGCAACCUUAAGGGUCCAUGUAUAAACUGACGUUGAGGGACGAAGGCUUGGGAAGCAAUAAGGAUUAGAUACCCUGAUAGUCCUAGCAGAAAAUAAUGAAUGUCAUAAAUUAGAAAUAUUUAAUUUAUAAAUGAAAGUGCAAGCAUUCCACCUCAAGAGUAAUGUCGCAAGGCAGGAACUGAAAUCAUUAGACCGUUUCUGAAACCAGUAGUGAAGUAUGUUAUUUAAUUCGAUGAUCCACGAAAAACCUUACCACAAUUUGAAUAGUUACAAGUGCUGCACGGCUGUCUUUAGUUAAUAUCGUAAGAGUAAGGUUAACUCCGUUAAUUAAUUUAAACCCUUACUUUAUUUUAUCUAUAUAAAGUUAAAAGUUGCUAACUGCAACUUAGCUAAGAGGGAUUAAGACAAGUCAUCAUGGCCUUAAUAUUGUGGGCUAUAGACGUGCCACAUUUGCCUAAACAAAGGGAUGCU